AACCAGACAUGUUUAUGAAAGCAUCCCUUAACCCCUUCUGACCGGAGGACGUACAAUUACGCCCUAUUUUAGGCGGCUCUAAACGCCGCCGGGCGUAAAUGUACGCCCUCCGGUUUUUGUUAACUUACCCGGUCACCGGCGGUCCCACGCGGCAGAUCCUUCUCCUCCGGUGCUCCCCGGCCAUGUGAGAGUGGGGUCCUAGCGAGGACCCCACAAUCACAUGGCCGGGUAGGCUGCCUCCUGCAUUGCCAGCAGGGGGGCUGCCUGUAAUGACAGGUGGUCCCCCUGCUGGCUGAAAAUAAAAUGAAAUUGAAGAUUAUACUAGCUUUAGUGUACUAAUAAUCUUAAUUUUAG